rnacentral:rRNA from 1 species
UACGUAGGGUGCGAGCGUUGUCCGGAAUUAUUGGGCGUAAAGAGCUCGUAGGCGGUCUGUUGCGUCCGCUGUGAAAACUCGGGCUUAACCCCGAGCCUGCAGUGGAUACGGGCAGACUAGAGGUAGGUAGGGGAGAAUGGAAUUCCCGGUGUAGCGGUGAAAUGCGCAGAUAUCGGGAGGAACACCGGUGGCGAAGGCAGCUCGCUGGGACGUUACUGACGCUGAGACGCGAAAGCGUGGGGAGCAAACAGG